GACGAACGCUGGCGGCGUGCUUAACACAUGCAAGUCGAACGGAAAGGCCCUGCUUUUGUGGGGUGCUCGAGUGGCGAACGGGUGAGUAACACGUGAGUAACCUGCCCUUGACUUUGGUAUAACUUCAGGAAACUGGGGCUAAUACCGGAUAGGAGCUCCUGCAGCAUGUUGGGGGUUGGAAAGUUUCGGCGGUUGGGGAUGGACUCGCGGCUUAUCAGCUUGUUGGUGGGGUAGUGGCUUACCAAGGCUUUGACGGGUAGCCGGCCUGAGAGGGUGACCGGCCACAUUGGGACUGAGAUACGGACCAGAAUCCUACGGGAGGCAGCAGUGGGGAAUAUUGCACAAUGGGCGGAAGCCUGAUGCAGCAACGCCGCGUGCGGGAUGACGGCCUUCGGGUUGUAAACCGCUUUCGCCUGUGACGAAGCGUGAGUGACGGUAAUGGGUAAAGAAGCACCGGCUAACUACGUG
rnacentral:rRNA from 1 species